AUGGAUGCGGUCUUUUCAGGACCAAGAGGACUCCGUGAUAUUCGGGGGAGUUGUGAGUUAACCCUACGGGGAGGAUAUUCGCGAUGUUCUUCUGUCUGUUGUGGGCCCUCCCUGCAAGCUGUGAGGCCGUCCAAGAGGGCUUAUCUUGGUCGACGGGAAGAGUGGAGGAUGCUCGUAAGGUUCUCCUGGUCGACGACGAGCCUCCUCGUGAUUCCUGGAUUUAUCCCAGUAUGA